CAGCUUACGAGAUCUUCUCUUUGUUAGGCUUUUCAAGAAACACGUGAAUGCUGCUAUUCGUGGCUAUUUGCUGAAAAGAAAGUUCUUAGCAGUACUCCUGCGGGAAAAAAAUGAGUGAAAGAAAAGGAAUUUAUUUAUAUGGUAAUAUAUAAAGGGCCUAGGCUGCCUUGGCUGUAUGUGGCCUUCUUGCUGUAUUUAUUGUUCAUUGAAUCUUUUGUAGCCCAUUGAGUAAUUAACAGUAAUAUAUAGCUUGCUUUGAUGAUACGCAGUGCAUCUCUGGAAGUGUCUAUUAAUGAAAGCAGCUUACAAAAAAAUUUUUGAGUUCGUUUACUUAGCAAUCAAAUCAUGCGUUUUCUUUUAAGCAGAAAUUGAAUGCAUUCAAGACCUAACACACUAGUUUCAUACCAUGAAUGUGCUUGCCUAUAUGCGGCUUAAUAUUAAUGGUCCUUCCUGCUUUGCAUUAUAAGUCCAGCUUUCAACAUGAUGCAUGCUGCAUUUAUGUGCUUUGUCUUGGAUAGUGUCAUAGCUCCUGGGGUUAAAGUAGAACCAGGUUUAUUAAAGGGGUACUGACACAAAAUUUUGCGGCCGAGCUAGCCUGUGGGAUCGAUUCCCGUGAAUAUGCGUAUAUUAUCUGCAAAA
rnacentral:lncRNA from 1 species